UACGGGGGGAGCAAGCGUUGUUCGGAUUUACUGGGCGUAAAGGGCGCGUAGGCGGCCUGUGCAAGUCAGUUGUGAAAUCUCCGGGCUUAACUCGGAACGGUCAACUGAUACUGCUCGGCUAGAGUGCGGAAGGGGCAACUGGAAUUCUUGGUGUAGCGGUGAAAUGCGUAGAUAUCAAGAGGAACACCUGCGGCGAAGGCGGGUUGCUGGGCCGACACUGACGCUGAAGUGCGAAAGCUAGGGGAGCGAGCGGG
rnacentral:rRNA from 1 species